rnacentral:lncRNA from 1 species
GUGGGGUGAGCUACUAGAGCCCAGUGAGCAGAAUAAUAAAACAUUGCAUUUAAAACAUAUGAUAUCAUGGAAUGCAUCAUAUCACAAACAUUUCACAUCAAGGAUGGACUUAUCACCAAUAGCCCUCUACAUAAUCCAAUCAUGCCAGGGGCGUAGUGCAGGCCACACCUGGUCUUUCUCUUACCCAUAACAUAUCAUACAUAUCCAAUUGUGCCGGGGGCGUAGUGCAGGCCACACCCAGACUUUCUCUUACAUUGUGCCAGGG